AACGCACGAGACCUGCGGACCUGCGGAAGGAUCAUUACAGAGUUGCAAAACUCCCUAACCCUUGUGAACAUACCUGUACGUCGUUGCUUCGGCGGGUAGCCCCUUUACGGGGCCUCGACCUCCCAGCGAGGUUGCCCGCCGGAGGACCACACAAAACUCUUGAAUUAAUGGCUUCUCUGAGUAUUAAUCAAAUAAGUUAAAACUUUCAACAACGGAUCUCU
rnacentral:misc_RNA from 1 species